CCCUUAGAUGUUCUGGGCUGCACGCGCGCUACACUGAUGCGCUCAACGAGUUUAUGACCUUGCCCGGAAGGGUUGGGUAAUCUUCUUAAAACGCAUCGUGAUGGGGAUAGAUUAUUGCAAUUAUUAAUCUUCAACGAGGAAUUCCUAGUAAGCGCGAGUCAUCAGCUCGUGCUGAUUACGUCCCUGCCCUUUGUACACACCGCCCGUCGCUCCUACCGAUUGGAUGAUCCGGUGAGCUAUUCGGACUUUCGCAUUGUCGAUUUUCGGCUUUACGAGGGAAAGUCUCGCGAACCUUAUCAUCUAGAGGAAGGAGAAGUCGUAACA
rnacentral:rRNA from 1 species